GUAGGACGUGUAAAGUAUCCAUCGGUGGUUUAAGCGAGAGAAAUGUGUUUUUCGGUGCAAAAUGGCGGAAAAACGUUGACAUGUGUAAAGGAAAUUUUAAAUUUCAUCAAAGUCUUUCCAUAUGAAAACAGCUAAGUCGAGAUCGUAUGAAAUCCCGGACGAUAUCUCUCCAAGUAGUAGCAGAAUAAGGAGUAACGAAAGGGCCACAAAAGUUCCUAUUUCCAAUGUAACGGUCAGGUAUUUGCUGAAUAGAAUUAGAUAUUAAUAGAAUUAAAAAAAACUUGAAUACUAGAAUACAAGCAUUAGCUACUUCUCUGAUUUACUAUAUACGAUUGCUGCCUGAAAGUUAUUACCGCACUGACAAGUUAUAAUAGCUGGCAGUUGAAAAUAUGUAAUUAUGUUUUCGUGUUACUUCUACUUCUCAAUUUGGUUUGAUUUAAGAGGUUGUGAUUUCAUACACGUACAUGUACGCGUUUGUGUAGUUUGCUUGUAUUUGUCAAAACACGCUUACGCUAAACUGACGUUUCGUUAACGGGCGACCAAUAAAGACCGCUAUUACAUUUUUAUCAAAAAAAGAAAGAAGAAAGAAACACUCAUAAUCGUUUAUAAGUCGCUAAAAUAAUUCCAUAUUAUAAUAAAUUUAACUUGAUGAAUGAUAUUAAUAUACGCAUUAAUGUACUAAAGUUGUUGAAGACUUGCUUUGAUAAAUACAUAUUUUGCCUAAAUUCAUCAAAAUUGCACAUUUAUAAGAUUAUUAUUAACUCCCUUCAUAUAUCACGUUUGUAAAACCAAGAUGUAUUGCAAAUAGAUUAACUUUGGAUCUACUGUUUAAAAACUUUCAUUCUGUUUUAGUUUAAUGAAAUAUUCCAACAUUCAUCCAAUGCAAAUGAAAAUCUAGUAAGUUAUGUUGAGAUUACUUUAGAGGAGAUAACCUUUACAUUAAUGGGAGGUGAACUUAAAAUCCCAUAAAAAGUUAUAAAACAUGAUCUAAUUCGAUGGGUCUUUUUUCCUUAAUUAAAUCUCUUAAGACUAUAUAAAAAAAACUGAAAAUUGUAAUCAAAUGCUGCUCCAUUGUGAUUCUUUGUUCCAGAAACCACAAAUUCGAUGAGAGAAAGGCGAGAAAGGCAAAACACGGAACUGUGAGAAGUUUUUCCGUACAGCCGAGCGGAGUACAAUCCGUCCGUUACCACUAUAAAGUUGACGAAUCGAAAAUACUCCUAUUAGUGCGGUUAGGAAUUCCUGAGUCUAGAAGAUUUCUUCACCUGAACUGGCUGUCAGCCAAUUGAGUUUAUACGACGUAAUAAAAAUAAAUCACUACGAGGUUUCCAAAGACUUUCAAACACAUAAACUGUACACUCUACAUCCGUAAAAUAUUAAAUAAAAGAUGAAUGAAUC